ACAAAAAAAAAAAAAAAAAAAUAUCACUUCAAGAACACAAGACUAACCCCACCCGCUAUGAAGUCCUACUGAAGUGUGAAGCGCCCGCCAUUCUUCUGUUGGGAACAACCCUCCGGUGGUCUAAUACCAGUUCUUAUAACAUGCUCGUGAAAGAUAAACCUCAUCUAUAAGAAAUUGCUUAAUUUUUAUCAAACUCAAAAAACAAGCUACCAUCCUAAUCAUCAAAAUGACAAGAAAAAGUAAUCCAACAAAAGAUCACUAGAGAGCGGCCCAGUGCCCAACUUUUAGAGUUGCCUUCCUACUUUAUUGGAUUAAAGCAACACUAACAGCCAGACACUCAACAUAUUAGGGAACAGAAUAUGAAGGUGCUGGCAGAAAAGGAAAUGGUGCAAUAGAAGCAUAUGCCACAGGUGCACGUGCUUCUGUACCAGCAAUUGUAUGCCUUCCUUUGCUCUUCUGACUAUCAGUUCCAGAGUCUAGUACUUUAGCUUCCAAGGAUGAUGGAAGCUCACUUUCUCCACAGAGACGGUGAAACAAAAGCCCAGACAUAAAUACAGGAAGAUACAGUAGACUGGCAUGAAACAUCCUCUUAGCCUUAUGUACUGUUCGGUCUUGGUAGAAUGAAAACGCUGAGGCACUAAUUGCUAGAGUCAAGAGUGAUGACUCAAGACAAAACCAACCAGAAGUCACACCCCCUGCACAUAAUAUUUGAUAAAUUAGGUGAUUAAAAGAGAUGAUCACUAGGACAUGUUUUUAACAUCAAGUUAUUAUUCAUAUUGUUGUGACAUACCAAAAGAAGAGUUCUCAGAAAUUAAUUCCGGUUGUAAAUAUCAAUUACAAAGUGUAUUACACAAGGAAGAGUACUAAGGCAAGAUGCUUAAGCAUUAUAAAUUUUAUUAACUCAUUAAAAAUUUUAUGUGCAAAAACCAAGAAUUGCACAUGAUUUUAAUAAGCUUGACAAAUGUGCAGAAGAAAUCGUCAAAGAAUCCAUGAAAUAAUUGCAUGUAAAAAUGCUACAGAGACAAGUCUGCAAACAAGAUAAUGUCCCUAAAACAAGUAUAUUCCUCAUGCAUGAUAGGAGGUAUAGAACAACAGAUUCAGGAGUCAUUCUUUAUGCUUUAAAGCAGAGUCAUGUAACAAGAAGAAAGUGAUUCCAUACCAUAUCUAAGGAUUAUGUGGAGACCUUGACAUACAUGCAUCACCGUAACAACAGAAACUAAAUCUCAUGUGAACAUGCAUGCAUCACUUUAACAACAUAAACUAAAGUCAUGGAUCCCAACUGAAAAGUAGGAAAAGAAAAAAAGACAGAUCAGAUUAAAAUAAACUAAAUAAGAUGCUUCAUACCCAUUUAUUUUUGUUUAAAUAUGAGAAACUUGCAGAAGGGUACCAAAUGAAGAAAACAUUAACAAAAAGAGGGGAGAAAAAAGGCAUUCACUGCACAAGGCUUUCCACAUUGUAGGUUUUAGAGAGUCAAAUGCACAUAGCCUUUCCGUUGCUUUUUUAAAUGGGGUGACCUUAUUUUUGCAUCAAGGCUUAACCUUUGAAGAAACCACAAAAAACAAAAGAAGUAACAAAGAUAAGUGUUUUCUUCAGUUGACAGGAACUUACAAUCAUAUGCCAAAAAACCCAAUGGAACCAGAUACAGACAGUUCCUAAGAGCUACUGAGGCAGUUCUUUGACCAGAGGUAUCAGCAAGAGAGAACAUCUUAAACCUGAAGAUGCCACAAAUGAUAAUAUAUAUAUAUAUAUGAGGAACAGGUUAAUAUUGAAAGCAAAAGAGAGAUAGAGAGAGGCUGAGCACAAGUUAUUGAAUAUUUUAACAGCAUCAUUCACAUACACGUGUGAGGAUACCACAUCCCUCCUCCAAAUUACUUAUGUUGAUUAUCAUCCAGAUUAAACAUUCCCAUGUCACUAAUUUGUUAAUUUGAUUAAGAAAUUUACACACAUUAUUGUGAAAUUAUGUCCAGAACAGCCAAUCAGGUUGAUCAGAGAACAGUUUUUGCCACAGCUUUUAUAUCAAAACCAAUCAAAAAUUAAUGAGACACUAACUUUAAAAUCACAGCAUCUGCACAUACCCUCCAUCAGCAUAAUCAUUGCGACACAAAUAAGCAAGGGCCAUGAAGUGGGGUAUUUGCCAAAAAUAGAGUGCAGCAGGAAGAAUCAUUGCAUUCAGUGAAACCUGGCCAGAAGCUGCAGCCCACCCUAAAAGUGGUGGAAUGGCACCGACAACAGCCCCAACCCAUGUGUUGACCGGAUGAAUCUGCUUCAAUGGUGUAUAGACAAAUGCAUAAAGAAUAAGAUUGGAUGCUGCAAGCCCAGCUGCCAACAUAUUAGCCUGCAACAAUCUUGUAUGUCAACAAAGCAGUGCCAGCUAAACCAACAGAAGAUGCCCAGGCAACAGCAUGUGGUAUUGUAAGACGCCCUGAAGGAAGUGGUCUUUGCCUUGUUCUUUUCAUUUUGGCAUCAUUACUUAUCUCCAACACCUAAUAAAAUAUAUACAAACCCUUAUCUCAGAAGUUCAAAUCAACCGAGUAAAAUGAGAAAAGCAACUAAACACAAGAUCUAUCAGCAAUCAAACACUUGUAAAACACUUGUUUUCAUAGUCGUUAAAAGUGCACUAGAAGCUCAAGCCAACAGCUCUAGACCUCUACAAGGGCGAGGCAGGUGUUAUCACAAAAUUCGCGUUCUUGCACCCCUGUUGUAAGGCAACUGGUGCAAGGCCACCACAGCUAGACUUGUAGCUUCCAAUCUGCCAGAAUCAGCAUCAACAGCCUGAAGAAUCACCUAAAUACAUAGCUGUUGAUGGGAUAUAACAAGACCACCAUCCCCAGAGUACCAACGAGUGAUGUUACCCUUCCAUCAUUCAAGCACCUCAAUUUUCUCCGCUCACACCUUAUUCUAAUCCCAUUUGAAAAAAAAAAGGAGCAUUAUUAUUCAAAAAUUAAUGUUAUAAAAGAUUUGAAAAUUAAAAAAUUCAUGGAUCACCUUAUGUUAUUGCCUUCAAGAAAACAGCCAAAUGCUAUUGCAGUCUCAUACAACCAAACUUUUGAUGUUUUCUGUUUCUCACCUCACUAUCCUAUGUCUAUAUACAGGGCUCUAAAUGAAAAUUAAAACUUCUGAUCAGCCGGAUAGUUUACAUAAGCCAGUGAGAGAUAAGAUUCAUUUCUUCGAUUAUAAAUUCUUGGAAAACCAUGAGAAUGAACAUUUAUAAUAAACAAAAUUUUAUUAAUGGAAGAAAACAUUAUAAUGGAGGAUGAGGCACUCAUCACAAGCAACAUAAGACAGUGUUAAGAGUUGCAAUUUUUUUGGUAACGUACACAAUCAGAACCAAAUACUAUCUCUCCAAAGCAAACCUGAUUUAAUGAGUUAGCAGAUGCUGCAACCAUCAUUGUACCAGCGCAAGUCCAACACAGUCCUGCAAAAUCAACAGCAUUGCCACUCCCAAGAACAUAUCCGGUUCCAGAAGUUGCAACAACUAACAUGCUGAGGCGAGCUUUGGAGAGCUCCCAAUAGCAGCGGCUGUAGUGGCGAGCCAAUUGCACCGCGGAAGUAAAGGGUGAGGCGACCGAGGAAGAUGGGGAGAAAGUUCGAAUUUCAUCAGAUUUGGGUUUCAGAAACCUAGAUUUUAGUGAGCCUAAAGGUGGAGGGAUGGCAGCGGAUGACGAUGAGCAACGCGAGAGGAAUUGCGGCACAAUGAUAAAGCCGUUUGCAUAGAAAAUGGAUGAAGACCACGAUCCAUGAUGAUAAUAAUUCAAGUUUGAAAACAGCUUUGGUGUGAAACUCACCGAGUUCCUCCACAUGGUGAGGAUCAAAGGUUCCCCGAGAGAGUUGGGUCAGUUUUUUCGGCGUAUAGGCACCAGCAGCAAGCUUUCGCAAAAAUGCAUUCAAAUUAAAGGGGUAUCUCAAUCUCGACCGAAGAUUAGAUUUGAAGCUUGAGAUUCGCUUAAAUUCAGCUCACAUUUAAACUCGUUGAUUAAAUCAAGAUUUUUAAAACCUGC
rnacentral:misc_RNA from 1 species